GAUGAAGAACGUAGCGAAAUGCGAUAAGUAAUGUGAAUUGCAGAAUUCAGUGAAUCAUCGAAUCUUUGAACGCACAUUGCGCCCCGUGGUAUUCCGAGGGGCAUGCCUGUUCGAGCGUCAUUAUAACCCCUCAAGCUCAGCUUGGUGUUGGGGCCUGCCGCACGGGCAGCCCUUAAAAUCAGUGGCGGUGCCAUCUGGCUCUAAGCGUAGUAAUUCUUCUCGCUAUAGAGUCCCGGUGGAUGCUUGCCAUUAACCCCCAAUUUUCUAUGGUUGACCUCGGAUCAGGUAGGGAUACCCGCUGAACUUAAGCAUAUCAAUAAGCGGAGGA
rnacentral:misc_RNA from 1 species